rnacentral:rRNA from 1 species
AGAGUUUGAUCCUGGCUCAGAGUGAACGCUGGCGGCGUGGAUUAGGCAUGCAAGUCGAGCGAUCCUUGUAAAUUCAAGUUGGAAACCAUUUCGGUGGUGGAAGGCAAGAAUUUGCGCUGGAUAGCGGCAAACGGGUGAGGAACACGUGAGUAAUCUUCCUCAAAGUCAAACAUAGCUUCGUGAAAACGGAGGUAAUAUUCGAUAUGGUGCUAGUGGCACAUGCUAUUAGUAUUAAAGGUGGGGACCGUAAGGCCUGCCGCUUUGAGAUGAACUCGCGUCCUAUCAGCUUGUUGGUAGGGUAACGGCCUACCAAGGCAUUUGACGGGUAGCUGGUCUGAGAGGAUGGUCAGCCACACUGGGACUGAGACACUGCCCAGACUCCUACGGGAGGCUGCAGUCGAGAAUCUUUAGCAAUGGACGAAAGUCUGACUAUGCGACGCCGCGUGCAGGAUGAAGGUUUUUGGAUCGUAAACUGCUUUUGUUAGGAGAGAAAUUUUAAAUCAGAAUAUGGUUUAAAAGUGACGGUACCUAACGAAUAAGCCACGGCCAACUCCGUGCCAGCAGCCGCGGUAAUACGGAGGUGGCGAGCGUUACUCGGAAUCAUUGGGUGUAAAGGGCAAGUAGGCGGUCUAUUAAGUGAGGGGUGAAAUCUUCCGACUCAAUCGGAAAACUGCCUUUCAAACUAGUAGACUUGAGGCUGGAAGAGGGAAACGGAAUUAGCAGUGUAAGGGUGAAAUCUGUAGAUAUUGCUAAGAACACCUACGGCGAAGGCAGUUUCCUGGUUCAGAUCUGACGCUGAAUUGCGAAAGCUAGGGGAGCAAACAGAAUUAGAUACUCUGGUAGUCCUAGCCGUAAACGAUGAGCACUAGGUGUUGGUCCUUUGGGAUCAGUGCCGCAGCUAACGCAUUAAGUGCUCCACCUGGGGACUACGGCCGCAAGGCUAAAACUCAAAGAAAUUGACGGGGACCCGCACAAGCGGUGGAACAUGUGGUUUAAUUCGAUGCUACGCGAAGAACCUCACCAGGGCUUGACAUGUAGGAAGUAGUGAACUGAAAGGGGAACGACCCGUAAAAUCCGGGAACCUACACAGGUGCUGCAUGGCUGUCGUCAGCUCGUGUCGUGAGAUGUUGGGUUAAGUCCCGCAACGAGCGCAACCAUUGCCCCAUGUUGCCACCCCCAUAGCCAGCUUGCUGGAUGUGGGGCGCACUCUUGGGGGACUGCCUGGGAUAACCAGGAGGAAGGUGGAGAUGACGUCAAGUCAGUACGGCCUUUAUGCCCUGGGCUACACACGUGUUACAAUGGCUGGUACAAAGGGUUGCCAACCCGAAAGGGGGAGCUAAUCUCAAAAAACCGGCCUCAGUUCGGAUUGGAGUCUGCAAUUCGACUUCAU